rnacentral:rRNA from 1 species
UACGUAGGUGGCAAGCGUUGUCCGGAAUUAUUGGGCGUAAAGCGCGCGCAGGUGGUUCCUUAAGUCUGAUGUGAAAGCCCACGGCUCAACCGUGGAGGGUCAUUGGAAACUGGGGAACUUGAGUGCAGAAGAGGAAAGUGGAAUUCCAAGUGUAGCGGUGAAAUGCGUAGAGAUUUGGAGGAACACCAGUGGCGAAGGCGAACUUUCUGGUCUGUAACUGACACUGAGGCGCGAAAGCGUGGGGGAGCAAACAGGGA